CCUACGGGGAGCAGCAGUGAGGAAUAUUGGUCAAUGGGCGCGAGCCUGAACCAGCCAAGUCGCGUGAGGGAAGACGGCCCUACGGGUUGUAAACCUCUUUUGCCGGGGAGCAACGGGCGCCACGUGUGGCGCCACUGAGAGUACCCGGAGAAAAAGCAUCGGCUAACUCCGUGCCAGCAGCCGCGGUAAUACGAGGAUGCGGGGGUUUACCGGAUUUAUUGGGUUUAAAGGGUGCGUAGGCGGAGCGUUAAGUCCGUGGUAAAAUUGAGGGGCUCAACCCCUUCCCGCCAUUGAAACUGGCGCUCUUGAGUGGAAGAGAAGUAUGCGGAAUGCGUGGUGUAGCGGUGAAAGGCAUAGAUAUCACGCAGAACCCCGAUUGCGAAGGCAGCAUGCCGGCUUCCUACUGACGCUGAAGCACGAAAGCGUGGGGAUCGAACAGGAUUAGAUACCCGAGUAGUC
rnacentral:rRNA from 1 species